rnacentral:rRNA from 1 species
AUUGAACGCUGGCGGCAGGCCUAACACAUGCAAGUCGAACGGUAACAGGAAGCAGCUUGCUGCUUCGCUGACGAGUGGCGGACGGGUGAGUAAUGUCUGGGAAGCUGCCUGAUGGAGUGGGAUAACUACUGGAAACGGUAGCUAAUACCGCAUAAUGUCGCAAGACCAAAGAGGGGGACCUUCGGGCCUCUUGCCAUCGGAUGUGCCCAGAUGGGAUUAGCUUGUUGGUGGGGUAACGGCUCACCAAGGCGACGAUCCCUAGCUGGUCUGAGAGGAUGACCAGCCACACUGGAACUGAGACACGGUCCAGACUCCUACGGGAGGCAGCAGUGGGGAAUAUUGCACAAUGGGCGCAAGCCUGAUGCAGCCAUGCCGCGUGUAUGAAGAAGGCCUUCGGGUUGUAAAGUACUUUCAGCGGGGAGGAAGGGAGUAAAGUCAAUACCUUUGCUCAUUGACGUUACCCGCAGAAGAAGCACCGGCUAACUCCGUG